rnacentral:miRNA from 1 species
GCAACAGCAACAGCAGCA